CCUACGGGAGGCAGCAGUGGGGAAUAUUGGGCAAUGGGCGCAAGCCUGACCCAGCCAUGCCGCGUGAGUGAUGACGGCCUUAGGGUUGUAAAGCUCUUUCAGUAGUGACGAUGAUGACAGUAGCUACAGAAGAAGCCCCGGCUAACUUCGUGCCAGCAGCCGCGGUAAUACGAAGGGGGCUAGCGUUGUUCGGAUUUACUGGGCGUAAAGGGCACGCAGGCGGCUUGACAAGUUGGGGGUGAAAUCCCGGGGCUUAACCCCGGAACUGCCUUCAAAACUGUCAAGCUAGAGAUCGAGAGAGGUGAGUGGAAUUCCUAGUGUAGAGGUGAAAUUCGUAGAUAUUAGGAGGAACACCAGUGGCGAAGGCGGCUCACUGGCUCGAAUCUGACGCUCAGGUGCGAAAGCGUGGGGAGCAAACAGGAUUAGAUACCCUUGUAGUC
rnacentral:rRNA from 1 species